rnacentral:misc_RNA from 1 species
UCCGAGUUGACCCCGGCAGUCUCUCUAGAGUCCCCGCCAUGACGCGCUGGCAACUAGAGACGAGGGUUGCGCUCGUUGCGGGACUUAACCCAACAUCUCACGACACGAGCUGACGACAGCCAUGCAGCACCUGUGCGCGGGCUCCGAAGAGGGCCCCCGGUUUCCCGGGGGUUUCCCGCGCAUGUCAAGGCCAGGUAAGGUUCUUCGCGUUGCGUCGAAUUAAACCACAUGCUCCACCGCUUGUGCGGGCCCCCGUCAAUUCCUUUGAGUUUCAGCCUUGCGGCCGUACUCCCCAGGCGGGGGACUUAAUGCGUUAGCGCCGGCACCCAGGGGGUCGCUCCCCCAAGCACCUAGUCCCCAUCGUUUACGGCGUGGACUAC